UACGGAGGGAGCUAGCGUUGUUCGGGUAUACUGGGCGUAAAGCGCACGUAGGCGGCGCCGUAAGUCAGGGGUGAAAUCCUGGAGCUCAACUCCAGAACUGCCUUUGAUACUGAAGAUCUUGAGUUCGGGAGAGGUGAGUGGAACUGCGAGUGUAGAGGUGAAAUUCGUAGAUAUUCGCAAGAACACCAGUGGCGAAGGCGGCUCACUGGCCCGAUACUGACGCUGAGGCACGAAAGCGUGGGGAGCAAACAGG
rnacentral:rRNA from 1 species